rnacentral:rRNA from 1 species
CGGAGGUGGCAAGCGUUACUCGGAAUUAUUGGGUGUAAAGGGCAAGUAGGCGGUUUAGUGUGUGGGGGGUGAAAUACUUCGGCUCGAUCGGAGAACAGCCUUCCAAACUACUAGACUUGAGUAUGACAGAGGAAAUGGAAUUCUAGGUGUAAGGGUGAAAUCUGUAGAUAUCUAGAAGAACACCAGCUGCGAAGGCGAUUUUCUGGGUCAUUACUGACGCUAAAUUGCGAAAGCUAGGGGAGCAAACAGAAUUAGAUACUCUGGUAGUCCUAGCCGUAAACGAUGAGCACUAGGUGUCGGGUCCUUUAGGAUUCGGUGCCGCAGCUAACGCAUUAAGUGCUCCACCUGGGGACUACGGUCGCAAGGCUA